ensembl:snoRNA Small nucleolar RNA SNORA53
AACACGCUCCUUAGAUCCACCUCUGGAGGAUGCUGUUCUCUGAGCAGUGCUCCUCAGCAGCUUGCUGGCUGUACAGUUGGAGGUGCUUGAGUCAUUGGCGUGUGAGAACAGUCUACCUGUCCUUCAGCCCACCCGCAGCACUGGCAACCCUGUCCUCUACAGGCAGGGAGCUCCUGGUGCUGCAAGCCUGGGGGACAGACAUG